rnacentral:rRNA from 1 species
AUUGAACGCUGGCGGCAUGCUUUACACAUGCAAGUCGAACGGUAACAGGCCGCAAGGUGCUGACGAGUGGCGAACGGGUGAGUAAUGCAUCGGAACGUGCCCAGUCGUGGGGGAUAACUACUCGAAAGAGUAGCUAAUACCGCAUACGAUCUAUGGAUGAAAGCGGGGGACCGCAAGGCUUCGCGCGAUUGGAGCGGCCGAUGUCAGAUUAGGUAGUUGGUGGGGUAAAGGCUCACCAAGGCAACGAUCUGUAGCUGGUCUGAGAGGACGACCAGCCACACUGGAACUGAGACACGGCCCAGACUCCUACGGGAGGCAGCAGUGGGGAAUUUUGGACAAUGGGCGCAAGCCUGAUCCAGCAAUGCCGCGUGCAGGAAGAAGGCCUUCGGGUUGUAAACUGCUUUUGUACGGAACGAAACGGCUCUGGUUAAUACCCGGGGAUAAUGACGGUACCGAAAGAAUAAGCACCGGCUAACUACGUG